rnacentral:rRNA from 1 species
UACGUAGGGUGCAAGCGUUGUCCGGAAUUAUUGGGCGUAAAGAGCUCGUAGGCGGUCUGUCACGUCGGCUGUGAAAACCCGAGGCUCAACCUCGGGCCUGCAGUCGAUACGGGCAAACUAGAGUACUGCAGGGGAGACUGGAAUUCCUGGUGUAGCGGUGAAAUGCGCAGAUAGUCAGGAGGAACACCGGUGGCGAAGGCGGGUCUCUGGGCGAGUAACUGACGCUGGAGGAGCGAAAAGCGUGGGGGAGCGAACAGGA